GGGGAAUAUUGCACAAUGGGCGGAAGCCUGAUGCAGCAACGCCGCGUGCGGGAUGACGGCCUUCGGGUUGUAAACCGCUUUCGCCUGUGACGAAGCGUGAGUGACGGUAAUGGGUAAAGAAGCACCGGCUAACUACGUGCCAGCAGCCGCGGUGAUACGUAGGGUGCGAGCGUUGUCCGGAUUUAUUGGGCGUAAAGGGCUCGUAGGUGGUUGAUCGCGUCGGAAGUGUAAUCUUGGGGCUUAACCCUGAGCGUGCUUUCGAUACGGGUUGACUCGAGGAAGGUAGGGGAGAAUGGAAUUCCUGGUGGAGCGGUGGAAUGCGCAGAUAUCAGGAGGAACACCAGUGGCGAAGGCGGUUCUCUGGGCCUUUCCUGACGCUGAGGAGCGAAAGCGUGGGGAGCGAACAGGCUUAGAUACCCUGGUAGUCCACGCUGUAAACGGUGGGUACUAGGUGUGGGGUCCAUUCCACGGGUUCCGUGCCGUAGCUAACGCUUUAAGUACCCCGCCUGGGGAGUACGGCCGCAAGGCUA
rnacentral:rRNA from 1 species